rnacentral:rRNA from 1 species
UACGGAGGGAGCUAGCGUUAUUCGGAAUUACUGGGCGUAAAGCGCACGUAGGCGGCUUUGUAAGUUAGAGGUGAAAGCCUGGAGCUCAACUCCAGAAUUGCCUUUAAGACUGCAUCGCUUGAAUCCAGGAGAGGUGAAUGGAAUUCCGAGUGUAGAGGUGAAAUUCGUAGAUAUUCGGAAGAACACCAGUGGCGAAGGCGGCUCACUGGACUGGUAUUGACGCUGAGGUGCGAAAGCGUGGGGAGCAAACAGG